CACAGAACACACCCUCUCUUUCAAAAACUCUCCCUCUCUGGCUUUCUCCCUCUUUCGAUCUCUUUCUUACACACACACACACACACACACACACACACACACACACACACACACACACACACACACACACACACACACACACACACACACACACACACACACACACACACACACACACACACACAUACACUCUUUCUCUCUCUUUAACUAUCCAUAUCUCGCUUUCUCACAUUACCAAUAGGAAAAAAUUUUUUUUUUAUCCAACCAUAUUAAUCAUGACCAAAUAUUUAGGAACAGGUUGUCAUUUCAUGGAGUCUGUGAAGGACGAAACCACAGGGAAAAAAUGAGCAGACAUCAUCAUGUCCCAUGUAUACAAACGUAAAACAAGCAGUGGUCUAGUCCCCCUUGACGUUGUUGAGUGAGGAAGUGAGAGAAGGGAAGAAGUCCUUUGGAGCAGCAGCAAAGAUAGAGUAGCAGAGGAACACAAAUUCAUAUCUGAUGACAUGGAGUCUCACAGAUCAGUCUCAUGGGCUUAGUAGCCUCAAACCCAGAAAACUUGUCUACGAAUUGGCACAUCAAAACAACAUCCCUGUCCCAGACAACUGGUCAAGAAAUGGAAGGAAAGAGAUGUCCAUAACAUUGAAGGAUGAUGGGGAAAGAGAUGUCCAUAACAUUGAAGGAUGAUGGGGAAAGAGAUGUCCAUAACAUGGAAGGAGGGUGGGGAAAGAGAUGUCCAUAACAUGGACGAAUGAUGGGGAAAGAGAUGUCCAUAACAUGGAAGGAUGAUGGGGAAAGAGAUGUCCAUAACAUGGACGGAUGAUGGGGAAAGAGAUGUCCAUAACAUGGAAGGAUGAUGGGGAAAGAGAUGUCCAUAACAUGGACGGAUGAUGGGGAAAGAGAUGUCCAUAACAUGGACAGAUGAUGGGGAAAGAGAUGUCUGUAACAUGGACGGAUGAUGGGGAAAGAGAUGUCCAUAACAUGGAAGGAGGGUGGGGAAAGAGAUGUCUGUAACAUGGACGGAUGAUGGGGAAAGAGAUGUCCAUAAUAUGGACAGAUGAUGGGGAAAGAGAUGUCUGUAACAUGGAAGGAUGAUGGGGAAAGAGAUGUCCGUAACAUGGAAGGAUGAUGGGGAAAGAGAUGUUUGUAACAUGGAAGGAUGAUGGGGAAAGAGAUGUCUGUAACAUGGAAGGAUGAUGGUGAAAGAGAUGUCCAUAAUAUGUAAGGAGGGUGGGGAAAGAGAUGUCCAUAACAUUGACGAAUGAUGGGGAAUGAGAUGUCUGUAACAUGGAAGGAGGAUGUGGAAAUUAUCGUUAAUCCUGUGGGGAAUUUCCAAACAUGCUUCAUAUUGACUGAAGUUUCCUGUAUGUGGUUACUUGUGGCUACACUGUGCGUCUGUGUGUGUUCGUGCCAGAUGACAAGUGAAACACUUCCACCACAGUGAGCAUCACUAAAGGCUGACGGGUCGGGACCAUGUAGAGCAGCACUAAUAGAGAGAUACAAGUGGUAGUGGAUAAGGAUCAGCCACCACAGGUCUGUCUGGCAAGAACUAAUCAGAUGUCUUCAGAACAGGUUUAUUGCAGAUAUCGGGUUCAACACGCCACACUCCUAAAAGUUGUUCAAUGGAAAGAUACAAGAAAAUAAUAAGCAUAAAUAGGGGCUUCCAGACAACGUACGGAGCACAGCCAAAUACACACAGCUAGUAGUACACACUGACAGAACAAAGGCCCAGUUACUGGUAAGCAUAUAUACAAUUGAAACAUGACUGCCAUGUAACUAAGGUCUGCGCAUGUGCACAAGACCACGACCAACGUGGAAUAGCAACUGCACCACAAGCGAAGGCACAGGCUAAUUAGGCUACAUACAUACAUCAUAAGGCUAUACACAGUACAUGGUAGCAUGAGGCUACAUAAAGACUGUAAAUGUACAUAAACACAGCUCUACGCAUGAACAGACAACAUAAACAGAAUAUAUUUCCCUUGAAACGGUACAUGUGAGCUUCAUCACCAAGCCUAAUGAGCUAGCGUUAGUGGCUCACAUUCUGGCUUAGCUGGCUAGCAGUAACAUGACACACAUGACAGGAAAAUACCUGAAACAUAUGGUGAAUAUCAACUUGACCGCCUUAGCAACAUCUUGAUAACAAACAUGGUCAUCUCCCAUCUAUUUCUGAUGUCCUUCCAGCUGGAUUUCUAUUUGCCACAUAUAUUUUAACUGCUGUUUCACAGAGGUUCUGAACCUAUAUACUUUUUACGGACACGGUAUAUUUAAAAUUAGUUAUCUUGUUGUUAUUAGUCCCACCCUUCUAUCUUUAACACCAUCCAGUUUUGAUUUCUAUUUGCCAUAUAUUUUUUCAACUGUGCUGUGAUGUUUCACAAAAGUUCUGAACAUUUCUAUUCUCAUAGUUUCUACAGAUUGUAAAUUAAAGAUAAACAUUGUUGCUAAAAUAA
rnacentral:lncRNA from 1 species